CAAAAUAUGCUAUUCUUCAAGCUGCUAUUUGUCAAAAGACUCCACCUGCAACUCAAAAGAAACAUCUGGAGAACUAAACAGCAAAGUGAGUUUUAUGUAAAGCAGCUUCAAAGUCGCUGUACCUGCUCUAAGAGCUGCUGCUGAAUGCUGGGAUCAGUCAGGUGUUGGGAACGGAGUUUGUGACGGAAGCGAAGCCACUGUACAGAUUUGGAGUUGAAGUUGUCACGAUUCACGCCAAGGACACGAGCACUGUGUAGGGUUCAGGGUGAAUCGCCAUGGGAGCCACAGUGCGAGGAUUGGCACUAUUGUUGUUCACCUUUUACGAUUGUAAAUAAAUUCACUGUAUUUGUUUGGAAGAGUCCUGCGUUUGGGUCCUCAUUA